rnacentral:tRNA from 1 species
UGCGAACUCUGUGGAUCGAACACAGGACCUCCAGAUGACUUGACCCUUCAGUCUGGCGCUCUCCCAACUGAGCUAAGUCCGC